UAUGAAGUGCCUAUGGGGCUCUAUGGGGUCUAUGGAGUGGCUAUGAGGCUCUAUGAGGUGGUUAUGAGGCUGUAUGGGGCCCUAUGGGGCUCUAUGGGGUGACUAUGGGGCUCUAUGGGGUCUAUGGAGUGGCUGUGUGGCUCUAUAAGGCACUAUAGGGCUCUAUAAGGUUCUAUGAGGCUCUAUGGGGCUCUACGGGACCAUGGCACUCUAUGGGGUGGUUAUGGGGCUCUAUGGGGGCGCUAUGGGGUGGUUAUGGGGCGCUGUGGGGCGCCUAUGGGGCGCUAUGGGGUGCCUAUGGGGCUCUAUGGGUCUAUGGAGUGGCUGUGCAGCUCUAUAAGGCACUGUAGGGCUCUAUAGCGUUGCUAUGGGGCUCUAUGGGGUGGCUUUGGGGCGCUAUGGGGUGCCUAUGGGGCUCUACGGGGUCUAUGGAGUGGCUGUGCGGCUCUAUAAGGCACUGUAGGGCUCUAUAGCGUUGCUAUCGGGCUCUAUGGGGUGGCUUUGGGGCGCUGUAGGGUGCCUAUGGGGCUCUAUGGGGUCUAUGGAGUGGCUGUGCAGCACUAUAAGGCACUACAGGGCUCUAUGACGUGCCUAUGGGGCUCUACGGGGUCUAUGGAGUGGCUAUGAGGCUCUAUGAGGUAGUUAUGAGGCUGUAUGGGGUCCUAUGGGGCUCUAUGGGGUGACUAUGGGGCUCUAUGGGGUCUAUGGAGUGGCUGUGUGGCUCUAUAAGGCACCAUAGGGCUCUAUAAGGUUUUAUGAGGCUCUAUGGGGCUCUACGGGACCAUGGCACUCUAUGGGGUGGUUAUGGGGCUCUAUGGGGGCGCUAUGGGGUGGUUAUGGGGCGCUGUGGGGUGCCUAUGGGGCUCUAUGGGGUGCCUAUGGGGCUCUAUGGGGUCUAUGGAGUGGCUAUGUGGCUCUAUGGGGUGGUUAUGAGGCUGUAUGGGGGCCCUAUGGGGCUCAAUGGGACUAUGGCGCUCUAUGGGGUGGCUUUGGGGCUCUAUGGGGCCCUAUGGGGUGGUAAUGGGGCUUUUCGGGUGCGUGGCCUACACUCUUUGGGGGGCGUGGCCUACACUCUUGGAGGCGUGGCCAGUUAAGUCUGGGGGCGUGGCCAAUGAACCUUGAGUGGGCGGGGCCAACCGAGCCUGGGGGCGUGGCCGUAUGCCCUUCGGGGGGGGGGCGUGGCCUACACUCUUGGGGGCGUGGCCAACCGGGUUUGGGGGUGUGGCCAGCUAAGCCUGGGGGCGUGACCGAUGAACCUAGAGUGGGCGUGGCCAACCGAGCCUGGAGGCGUGGCCAACCGUGUUUGGGGGCGUG
rnacentral:lncRNA from 1 species